rnacentral:lncRNA from 1 species
GGACAAAUAAGGGAAUAUAUGCUGGCCACCUCAGCCAGGGAUGGCAACCCGCUGGGGUCUCCUUCCGCUGUGUGGAAGGGUUGUUUUUCUGCUCUUCGCAAUAAAUCUUGCUGCUGCUCAUUCUUUGGGUCGCCGCCGCCUUUUAUGAGUUGUAGCACUCACCGCGAAGGUCUGCAGCUUCACUCCUGAAGCCAGCUAGAGCCAGCGAGACCACGAACCCACUGGGAGGGAUGAACAACUCCGGACUCGCCACCUUUAUGAACUGUUAACACUCACAGCGAAGGUCUGCAGCUUCACUCCUGAAGCCAGCGAGACCACAAACCCACUAGGAGGAAUGCACAACUCCUGAUGCCCUGCCUUUAAAAGCUGUAACGGUCACUGCGAAGGUCUGCGGCUUCAUUCCUGAAGUCAGCGAAACCACGAACCCACCUGAAGGAAGAAACUCCGGACACAUCCGAACAUCAGAAGGAACAAACUCUGGACACACCAUCUUUAACUGUAACACUCACCACGAGGGUCCGCAGCUUCAUUCUUAAAGUCAGCGAGACCAAGAACCCACCAAUUCCGGACACGCAAGUUCUUCUGUUCCAAGAAAAAUGGUCUUCUUACUUCCUUGAUGGCUCACAACAUGCUCCUUUCUACUGCAGGAACACUGUAUAACUUCUGUCAAGCAUGAACUCCCCACCUCUGUUUGACAUACUUCUCUACUUUCAGAACUCAGCUGAACUAUCGCUUCUCAAGGGAGCACUCAAACUUCCUGAACAGAACCACCUUAGAUAUUGCUGGCCAGCUCAUGAAUUGUGGCUUGUGGUCCAGCUAAUCUUUCCUAGUCUAUUCAGCUAUGGCCAGAGAAGAUGUGCUUAACUUGUGGAGCCUUACUGUUUCUCUAAGGACAUUCUUCUACAUAAUGUUGCGUCAGUAGAAUAAUUUUCUCACCAAGUGAUAGCUAGGUAGGUCAGUAAAUCCUCUCCUACACCGUAGUUAUUUGCUUUAAGCCAACUUGAAGUGAACUUCUGUCUCUUCUUUAAUCUGAGAAUCUUACGUCUUCAAGCCCUGUUCACACCGCUUGUCCCAUUAGAAUAAACCUUAUUUAAGAGACGUGGUCUAACUAUGUUGCCCAAGCUAGUCUCUUCGAGUCAAGCUAUCCUCCUUCCUCAGCCUCCCAAAGUGCUGAGAUUACAGGUGUGAGCCACAGCACCCACCUGGGUCUUGCAUAAUUUGACUCUGGCCUAUUCUCCAACAUCAACUCCUACAAUUCUCUUCCUCGCUAUUCUCUGGACAUGCCAGUUUCACAUUCAUGAAUAGUCAAUGAACUUGAAAUCUUCAAUUAUAACUGUGAAUUUGUCUAUUUCUCUUUUCAGCUCUAUUGGUUUUUGCUUCAUAUAUUUUGAAGCUUUAUUUUUUUAGUGUGUACACUUUUAUGUCUUCUUGCUGGUUGAACUUUUAUCUUAUGUCACGCCUCUUCUUGUCUCUAGUAUUGUCAUUAAUUUAAAGUCUAAUGUUUCAGGUACCAAUAUAGCCAGUGUAUUGGUUUUUAAAUUACUAUCGCAUGGUAUAUAUUUUCUUCAUAUUUUUAUUUGCAAUGUGCUAAUGUCAAUAAAUCUGAAGUGAGUUUCUUUUAAGCUGCAUGUAUGGGUAAAUUUUUAAAUCCAGUGUUUGUUUUUUGAUUGCAGUAUUCAAAUC